UGUUUAUUUGAUGAAACGUGUAUUCAACGGGAGAGAGUAUUACUCUUCAUGACGGGAUGGACGAGGAAGCCUUUAAGAUGGUUAGCAGCACCUAUCCUUCCUGCUUUGGGGAAUCACAGCCAUCUAUCUGAAAGCUCAGCCUGAAGAAGAUUGGAGGGAUCCCACAUCAUGAACUACACCACUGCUGCAAUAUACGUCAUGCACUGUCUGGAAGAAAGUUGAGUUUUUCAACUAAAUUGAAAACAUUCACGGAAAGCAUGUUUGCCUCAAAUUUUUCAUAUUUCCACCAGAAAACAGCGAAUCCAGUUUUAUCUGCAAGCAACUACUGUC
rnacentral:lncRNA from 1 species